UACAGAGGUCUCAAGCGUUGUUCGGAUUCAUUGGGCGUAAAGGGUGCGUAGGCGGCGCGGUAAGUCGGGUGUGAAAUCUCGGAGCUUAACUCCGAAACUGCAUUCGAUACUGCCGUGCUUGAGGACUGGAGAGGAGACUGGAAUUUACGGUGUAGCGGUGAAAUGCGUAGAGUAUCGAGAGGAACACCUGCGGCGAAGGCGGGUUGCUGGGCUGACACGUGACGCUGAGGCGCGAAAGCCAGGGGAGCGAACGGG
rnacentral:rRNA from 1 species